AACUGUGUGCUUGAUAAAAAAGAUCGCCUUGAUAGGGCGAAAAAUGAGAGUUUCUCUCCGCUGUUA
rnacentral:tRNA from 1 species